rnacentral:rRNA from 1 species
UACGUAGGGUGCGAGCGUUGUCCGGAAUUAUUGGGCGUAAAGAGCUCGUAGGCGGUGUGUCGCGUCGGCCGUGAAAACCUGGGGCUCAACUCUGGGCGUGCGGUCGAUACGGGCAUCACUUGAGUUCGGCAGGGGAGACUGGAAUUCCUGGUGUAGCGGUGAAAUGCGCAGAUAUCAGGAGGAACACCGGUGGCGAAGGCGGGUCUCUGGGCCGAUACUGACGCUGAGGUGCGAAAGCGUGGGGAGCAAACAGG